CUUGAGCGAGCCGAUCCACAGGGGCCGUUCCCGGGGGCGGUUGCGGCCGUAGGUGGCGAGCAGCGCCUGUGCCUC
rnacentral:antisense_RNA from 1 species